CCAAUAGCGUAUAUUAAAGUUGUUGCAGUUAAAAAGCUCGUAGUUGAAUUUCGGGAUCAAUAUAUCGGUCGUGCCAUCGGUACGUACUGGUAUCAUUGGUUUCUCCUUUCUGACGAACCAUGAUGUCAUUAAUUUGGUGUUAUGGGAAGUUAGGACUGUUACUUUGAAAAAAUUAGAGUGUUUAAAGCAGGCAUUUUUGCUUGAAUACAUUAGCAUGGAAUAAUAAAAUAGGACGGCAUGGUUCUAUUUUGUUGGUUUCUAGGACCACCGUAAUGAUUAAUAGGGAUAGUUGGGGGCAUUAGUAUUCAAUUGUCAGAGGUGAAAUUCUUGGAUUUAUUGAAGACUAACUACUGCGAAAGCAUUUGCCAAGGAUGUUUUCAUUAAUCAAGAACGAAAGUUAGGGGAUCGAAGACGAUCAGAUACCGUCGUAGUCUUAACCAUAAACUAUGCCGACUAGGAAUCAGACGAUGUUAAUUUUUUAAUGACUCGUUUGGCACCUUACG
rnacentral:misc_RNA from 1 species